rnacentral:rRNA from 1 species
UACGAAGGGUGCAAGCGUUACUCGGAAUUACUGGGCGUAAAGCGUGCGUAGGUGGUUUGUUAAGUCUGAUGUGAAAGCCCUGGGCUCAACCUGGGAAUUGCAUUGGAUACUGGCAGGCUAGAGUGCGGUAGAGGAUGGCGGAAUUCCCGGUGUAGCAGUGAAAUGCGUAGAGAUCGGGAGGAACAUCUGUGGCGAAGGCGGCCACCUGGACGGUCACUGACGCUGAGACGCGAAAGCGUGGGGAGCAAACAGG